CGAUUGGGGGAUGGCUCGGCUCGAGAGCCGAAGAAGGUCGUGACAAGCUGCGAUAAGUCGCGGGGA
rnacentral:rRNA from 1 species